rnacentral:rRNA from 1 species
CCUACGGGUGGCAGCAGUGGGGGAUAUUGCACAAUUGGGGGAACCCUGAUGCAGCGACGCCGCGUGAGCGAAGAAGUACCUCGGUAUGUAAAGCUCUAUCAGCAGGGAAGAAAAUGACGGUACCUGACUAAGAAGCACCGGCUAAAUACGUGCCAGCAGCCGCGGUAAUACGUAUGGGGCAAGGGUUAUCCGGAUGUACUGGGGGUAAAGGGGGGGCAGGGGGCCUGCCAGGUCUGGCGGGAAAACCCAGGGUCCAACCCCCGGCCUGAAGUUGAAACUGGUGGGCUGGAGUGUCGGAGGGGCAGGCGGAAUGCCUGGUGUAGCGGUGAAAUGCGUAGAUAUUAGGAGGAACACCGAUGGCGAAGGCAGCCUGCUGGACGAUGACUGACGCUGAGGCUCGAAAGCGUGGGGAGCAAACAGGAUUAGAUACCCCAGUAGUC